UACGUAGGGUGCAAGCGUUUGUCCGGAAUUAUUGGGCGUAAAGAGCUCGUAGGCGGUUUGUCGCGUCUGCUGUGAAAAUCCAGGGCUUAACCCUGGACCUGCAGUGGGUACGGGCAGACUAGAGUGCGGUAGGGGAGAUCGGAAUUCCUGGUGUAGCGGUGGAAUGCGCAGAUAUCAGGAGGAACAUCCGUGGCGAAGGCGGCUCUCUGGGCCGUAACUGACGCUGAGGAGCGAAAGCAUGGGGAGCGAACAGG
rnacentral:rRNA from 1 species